CCCGAAGAUUUAAAUUUUGGAAUAAAAACAAAGGAAAAUACAUUGAAACCUAUGUACGUUGACCGAUGUGUGCUUUGUAUUAGUGGUCAAUUUAGACUACAGAAGGUGGUCAAAUGAUUAGCUUAUAGAAUGGAUGAGUCAUUGUUUUUUAUUAUCAUUCCUUUUACCAUGUAGUUUAUGAAUUUCUUACAAAUUAUAAAUCAAAAUAAAUAUAAAAGUAAUCAACUUUUUUUAACAUGGAAUUCAAAUUUCAGUUAAG